UACACGACUCUCGGCAACGGAUAUCUAGGCUCUCGCAUCGAUGAAGAACGUAGCAAACUGCGAUACUUGGUGUGAAUUGCAGAAUCCCGUGAACCAUCGAGUCUUUGAACGCAAGUUGCGCCCGAAGCCAUUAGGCUGAGGGCACGUCUGCCUGGGCGUCACGC
rnacentral:rRNA from 1 species